AACGAACGCUGGCGGCAUGCCUAACACAUGCAAGUCGAACGAGACCUUCGGGUCUAGUGGCGCACGGGUGCGUAACGCGUGGGAACCUGCCCUUAGGUUCGGAAUAACUCCCCGAAAGGGGUGCUAAUACCGGAUAAUGUCUUCGGACCAAAGAUUUAUCGCCUUUGGAUGGGCCCGCGUUGGAUUAGCUAGUUGGUAGGGUAAAGGCCUACCAAGGCGACGAUCCAUAGCUGGUCUGAGAGGAUGAUCAGCCACACUGGGACUGAGACACGGCCCAGACUCCUACGGGAGGCAGCAGUGGGGAAUAGUGGACAAUGGGCGAAAGCCUGAUCCAGCAAUGCCGCGUGAGUGAUGAAGGCCUUAGGGUUGUAAAGCUCUUUUACCCGGGAUGAUAAUGACAGUACCGGGAGAAUAAGCUCCGGCUAACUCCGUG
rnacentral:rRNA from 1 species